UGUAAGCUGGGAGGGACAAGUGGCUGGACACCUCGGAGAACUCAGAGCUUCUCUUGCCCUAUCUGUGGAACUCUCAGGCUGCUCCUGUAUGUUUGGAGCCGAGAGAGGAGUUUACUGAUUUUUAAAGAUACAAAGGAGAGGAGAGAGAACUGCAGACCCAGCGCGUCCUUCUGGUUCCAUGGGAGUGGCAUGCAGGCAGGCUAAGAAGAACCCUCCUUGAAGGCAAAGCUGGAGCGUACAGGAGGGGCCCGGGAGCAGGUCUUGUCCAGUUGCUGUCCUGAAAGUCUGUGCAGCCCUAGGGACAGGCCUGGGGACAUCCUUGGGCCUGGAGGGCUGAGUACGGCAACUGUCGCAACUAUGAGAGGGUACCCAGGGUACCCAGAGCAGGUCUGCGAGGCUUGUGGGGUCCAGUUCACCCUAAGGUAGGGCACUGGGAGACAGUUCUGUGGAACAGGGCCUGAUAGGGUGGGAAAUGGCGCCUCCUUCCAGCAUCCUCACAGCAGAUUUAACUGAACACACCUGCAAGGUGUCUUCAAAACUGCCCCGGCAAAUCUUCCAAUAGAGGAUUAGCCUCAUCUCUGGCAGACCGAUGAGGAAACAGAAUACAAGACUCUUGACUCCGUGGAACUCUGCCUCACCGCCGGUCCACAGCGAUGGAGCAAGCUGGCCCUGUACCGAAGGUGGGAGCCCAGAUACCACACUGCAGAACAUAUGGGCAGGAUAUCUUUGUGGACCUCAGAGCCAGGACACAAACCUAUCCCAGACCUCUCGACAGAAUGGUUGCCAGCUCUCUCAAGGGAAUGGCCCAAGAGAGUGAGGCAGGAGCCGCUGUGUCUUUUAUGACCAGGUCACAUGCUACCAUCUCACAACAGAUUAUGCAGAUGAGUGCUCAACAUGGGAGGGGACUUCUGGGGGUCCAGCUACCAGGAGAUGGGGUGUUCUGGUAAAGGCUAGCCGUCUCAGAGCAGUGGAAAGGGGUGUCAUGUGACUGGAAGACCAGGAUGAACAGGCUGGCUGCAGAGGUGAGAUCUGCUUCAGUCGGGUCACUCAGGUUCUGGCUCCGGUUCCAGGGUGGAGAGCCUUUCCUUCAUCCUGCCCAUCAGCCUCUGCCUAGGCUGCCAGGGAGCCAAGGCCUCCUCUGGGCACGGCUGGAUCCUGUUACACUGUCACAGAGCAAGACAAGAACUGUGGAGCCUGUGGCAGGAGACAAUGGCCUCCAUUGAGGAAUUAUGACGUAAAGGAACCAGUCUGCAGUCACCAGUGUGCAGAAACACAAUAGGUGUUUCAAGAGGGCCCAGGAGGUGCUCAGAGGAGACAAAGAUGCUCACUACCAUCCUGGCAUUCCCUCCCUCUCUGAGGUUUCCAACACUGUGCCAAGAGAGGAAUGUCUCUAGGAUCUGUCUGAAAAGGUCAGUUGUUAAAAAUCUGGCUUCUGACCUUCAUUCAGUUUGUCCUUUCCCGAUCUGCCUUCCAAGAGAAAGGCCCCCACCUAGGUGCUGGCAGUGGCGGGAAAUGUUAGGGAAAGGUUUAAGCGUGGCUUGUGACGGCUUUGUCUAUUUCCACAGCUCCUGCCUCGACACCUCAAGUCCAGCAGAGUACUGGGUGACAUCAUAUCUCAAGCACUUUGUGUGAAUGCAGACAUUUGUCAGCUGGGAGGAUGGGGACUGAUUUUGUUCUUGGGCUUGAGCUGAGCCCCCAGCCCCAGGGACUGGCUUUAUUGUUCUCAUAUGUUAAGAUAUGAUUCUGCAAUGCCGGCUGUGUCUAAGAACCAGAACACAGGGCAAGAAGUCCCUUUCUUAGGACCUUAGCCAGAAGACGCCAGCCCAGUUCUUCUCCUUUACUGUUCUGUAGAUUUGGGAAUUCCUGGUGGGAAUGUGGAGAAAGGGCCUUUGUGGGGAGACCUCUGUUGAUCUGGAACUAUAGGACUAGUUUCCCCUGCGAGGCCACCUGGACUGUUUGUGAUGACAGCUGUCCAGCUAGGCACAGGCAGCUAUUCUGACUGAGCUUAGCCACUUACGUCGGGUGUGACCUUUGUAAGGUAGUCUUUGGGUGAGGGCUUUGUGCAAGGGCUGGCUGGCAUUUCUGUGGGUGUUUCCUCUCCCAGCAAUCAUUUUGGGGAGCUGCCUGCCUUCUUCUGUCCUUCGUAGAAUCAGCAAGGACAUUGUAGGUUUCGGGAUGGGGAUACCGAACCUCAGUUUGCUCCAUGCCUUUAUUUACUUGAAUGUCUGAGGUCAGGAACAGCAAUGAGUAUGUGGAAAAAUCCCAUAAUUAAAAUCAAAUUUCAGUUGCAGGGAGAACUUUGACUUUGAAAGGAAAAUAGUUGACAAUAUUUGUAAAAGAAUAGCAAUCAUAUACUUGGGCAAACUGCUACUCCCCAGUUCCAUUAACCCGGCAAUUUCUAAUUGGAAUCUAGACUCUCAGAGCAUCUGUCAGAGACGUCCCAUUUACUCCCCUCUGGGCUUUGCCUGGUUCCCCGUCUACUCAGUUUAGUGUCUUGGGAUGAGGGAUUCUAAAGUCUGUACCAGUGGGUCCCUAAGAUGUUGUUCUAGCUGGUCCUUUUUGAUAGUACUUAGGGGACAGGGAGAGAGUCAGAAUGUCUCCUUCUCCCUAAUCCCUUCCUUUCUGAGUCCCUGUUUGUUGGGUCCAUCUCUUGCCUAAGGCCACAAUUUCUGGCUGGGGCCCUUUCUGUGCUGCCACCUUCUUUGAGUACCAGCAGUUGCCACUUCACCGAUGGGAGUGGCCCCCUGAUGUUGCUGGCCCUGGGGUGAGUGGCACCCUGGACUGUCUGUCUCCUAAACUGAUCUGCAUCUUUGCAUAUAGUCUUUGUUAAACUCUUCUCAGACUGCCCAGGCGAGUGUGCUGUUUGCCUUUCUAGGGUCACGGGUCCAGUCAACAUCUAAAGUCUUAUUUGCACAGCGUCUUUUCACUCUGUAGUGUUCUUUUCUUCUUUUGAAGGCGCAAGGAAAACUUGAAGCUACACUGGAAUUGGUGCUGUUUGACCUUGAAAGCCCAGAGCUGGCCUUUGAGGCUGGGGGCAGACUGGCUUUGUGCCUUCCUUCAGUGCAAGAACCAACUAACUGAGGAUGGCUUCAUCCCCCAAGGGGAAUAUCGCAGACUGCUCAGAAUAAACUCAGACUUAUUCUGAGAGGGGGAAGGGAAGAGGAAGGUGAGGAGUAUGGGGAGGGAGAUAAACAAUCUGUUAUUUUAUGUACUGCUGUGAACUUCAGAUUGCCAGAUUGGCAGGUGUGUUGGUGCACAUCUCAGAGGCAGGAGCAUUGCUGUGAGUUUGAGGUCAGCCUGAUGUACAUAGUGAGUCCAGGUUGGCCAAGGUUACACAGUGAGACCAUGUCUCAAACAACACCACCACCACCAACCACCACCAAUAAAAUACUAGGUCAAAUGUGUAGGACUGCAAUGUUCCUGCUUCCUAAGGGAGCCUGGGAGAAGGCGCCAGGGAGAUAACUUAUGCUUCAGAUUCCAGUGAAAGUUACUGAGGAGACGUCCUGAGUUAGGGACAAGUCAACAAAACCAAUACAGGUAGGGCAUCCAGUGGGAUACUGGGUUGCCCAGAAUAGAAGGACAUCACCUGCUCAUAGAGAUGAGGAGAGCUUGAAAGUGUCUGCUAAAUUCCCACAUUUGGAACUUAAGUUUCAAAGUAUCUGUGUAGCAAGUCAAGAUCUCUGCCCUCAGGGCUUAACUAGUUGUCCUGGGGGUAGGUAUUUUGCAUUGACAGUAAAACUGGCUUCAACCCCGA